rnacentral:rRNA from 1 species
AGUGAACGCUGGCGGUAGGCCUAACACAUGCAAGUCGAACGGCAGCACAGUAAGAGCUUGCUCUUACGGGUGGCGAGUGGCGGACGGGUGAGGAAUACAUCGGAAUCUACUUUUUCGUGGGGGAUAACGUAGGGAAACUUACGCUAAUACCGCAUACGACCUACGGGUGAAAGCAGGGGAUCUUCGGACCUUGCGCGAUUGAAUGAGCCGAUGUCGGAUUAGCUAGUUGGCGGGGUAAAGGCCCACCAAGGCGACGAUCCGUAGCUGGUCUGAGAGGAUGAUCAGCCACACUGGAACUGAGACACGGUCCAGACUCCUACGGGAGGCAGCAGUGGGGAAUAUUGGACAAUGGGCGCAAGCCUGAUCCAGCCAUACCGCGUGGGUGAAGAAGGCCUUCGGGUUGUAAAGCCCCUUUGUUGGGAAAGAAAAGCAGCAGGUUAAUACCCCGCUGUUCUGACGGUACCCAAAGAAUAAGCACCGGCUAACUGCGU